rnacentral:rRNA from 1 species
UACGGAGGGUGCAAGCGUUAUCCGGAUUCACUGGGUUUAAAGGGUGCGUAGGUGGGCUGGUAAGUCAGUGGUGAAAUCUCCAGACUUAACUUGGAAACUGCCAUUGAUACUAUUAGUCUUGAAUACCGUGGAGGUCAGCGGAAUAUGUCAUGUAGCGGUGAAAUGCUUAGAUAUGACAUAGAACACCAAUUGCGAAGGCAGCUGGCUACACGAAUAUUGACACUGAUGCACGAAAGCGUGGGGAUCAAACAGG